rnacentral:rRNA from 1 species
GAUGAACGCUGGCGGCGUGCCUAAUACAUGCAAGUCGAGCGAACAGACGAGGAGCUUGCUCCUCUGACGUUAGCGGCGGACGGGUGAGUAACACGUGGAUAACCUACCUAUAAGACUGGGAUAACCUCGGGAAACCGGAGCUAAUACCGGAUAAUAUAUUGAACCGCAUGGUUCAAUAGUGAAAGACGGUUUUGCUUUCACUUAUAGAUGGAUCCGCGCCGCAUUAGCUAGUUGGUAAGGUAACGGCUUACCAAGGCAACGAUGCGUAGCCGACCUGAGAGGGUGAUCGGCCACACUGGAACUGAGACACGGUCCAGACUCCUACGGGAGGCAGCAGUAGGGAAUCUUCCGCAAUGGGCGAAAGCCUGACGGAGCAACGCCGCGUGAGUGAUGAAGGUCUUCGGAUCGUAAAACUCUGUUAUUAGGGAAGAACAAAUGUGUAAGUAACUAUGCACGUCUUGACGGUACCUAAUCAGAAAGCCACGGCUAACUACGUG